AGUGAUGAAGUUGAAUUGGGGCCUACUGGAGAAGAAGAAGAGAAAAACGGAUUGCAGGAAGAAGUUCACUUGACAGCAGAAAGAAUACAGGAAACUAGAGAUAGAGCAGAAUACAAAUCAUUGACAGGCUGCGCACCUCUUCGACUUCGCUACAUGGAAGAUACAUCAUCAACAGAACCCGAUAAUGAUGAUUACUGCAAAAAAGCCACCUUGCCCUUGGAAAAAACUGUUCAACUGAGUAAACAUGAUUUUCCAUCUGGCCGUUCCAGCAGACAAUCUUCUCUACAAAGAUCAAAGGCUGUGAAGGGUAGCGAUAGCCUUGGCAGUACAGACUCCAAUUCACUUAGGCCUCCUUCACCUGAGCCAGAAAAAAGAGCAAAGAUACAAAGACUAGAUACUGAUUCCUUGUAAGGGACCAACCUCACUAGGAGGAACCUAUUUCUGUUUUUUUAACUUAUCAAGAUUCAGUCCAGAAAGUACUCAGCUGCUACACAUUACAAGUAAAUAAGAGUUCCAUAACUGUUGCAAUUUAAGAGAGAAGGAUAAAGAAAGCAUUUAAAUAUGUUGAAGAUUAUGUAGUUUAAAAUUUAUGGAUAUAUGUGAAUCAUUAUUCUUAUACUAAUUAUAUCUUCAACUUUCCUGUUCAUAACAAAGAACAAAAGUCGUUAAAUCUUAAUAUUUAAAGCAUGUUUUGAAUAUUAAAUUCAAGAAUAUGUUCAUCUAAUGCAGCUGAAGUUUUACGGAUAAAUAAUAAAGGACAAAAUUCAUCCCAUCACAUGAAACGUAGUUUAUCCCACAAACAUUUUUCGGAUAGCCACGUGUUUGUUUUUUCUUUCCUUGUAAGAUGAAAUUUAAUGAACCUAGAAGAAAUCAAAGCACUAUUUACGAGAAUUCUAAAGUUCUCGGCUAAAACAACUAUCAGCUUAGCUUUUCUGCUCGCUCUCUUCAAGUUUUGCACAAAAGCUGCAAUUUAUUAGAUGUAUUUUUACCAUACACCAUAU